UACGUAGGGGGCAAGCGUUGUCCGGAUUUAUUGGGCGUAAAGAGCGUGUAGGCGGCCUGAAAGGUCAGCUGUGAAAACUCGAGGCUCAACCUCGAGACGUCGGUUGAAACCAUCUGGCUAGAGUCCGGAAGAGGAGAGUGGAAUUCCCGGUGUAGCGGUGAAAUGCGCAGAUAUCGGGAAGAACACCCGUGGCGAAGGCGGCUCUCUGGGACGGUACUG
rnacentral:rRNA from 1 species